UAUCGUUGACGGUGAGUGGCUGGACAACAUGAAGCUUUGUCCACAGCUUGAGAGCACAUCUAAGCGCUUUCUGAGCUCAUUACGCCUUCCCUAACAGCGCGAGCA
rnacentral:lncRNA from 1 species